rnacentral:rRNA from 1 species
CUACGUGCCAGCAGCCGCGGUAAUACGGAGGGUGCAAGCGUUAAUCGGAAUUACUGGGCGUAAAGCGCACGCAGGCGGUCUGUCAAGUCGGAUGUGAAAUCCCCGGGCUUAACCUGGGAACUGCAUUCGAAACUGGCAGGCUAGAGUCUUGUAGAGGGGGGUAGAAUUCCAGGUGUAGCGGUGAAAUGCGUAGAGAUCUGGAGGAAUACCGGUGGCGAAGGCGGCCCCCUGGACAAAGACUGACGCUCAGGUGCGAAAGCGUGGGGAGCAAACGGGAUUAGAUACCCUGGUAGUCCACGCCGUAAACGAUGUCGAUUUGGAGGUUGUGCCCUUGAGGCGUGGCUUCCGGAGCUAACGCGUUAAAUCGACCGCCUGGGGAGUACGGCCGCAAGGUUAAAACUCAAAUGAAUUGACGGGGGCCCGCACAAGCGGUGGAGCAUGUGGUUUAAUUCGAUGCAACGCGAAGAACCUUACC